AGAAUAUUAGCCUUGUUUCGCCAUCCUAGGCUUCAUCAUUAUAGCAGGCUCUAGGUAAUGCGAAUAAACUAUUAUCCUGUAAUAUUACAUAUGGUAUAUACAAUUAUUUAGGGUUUUUUAUAUUUAUUUUGCUGUAAAAAUGUGUGAGAUUACGAUAUUGUAUUUAUUCGCAUUACCUAGAGCCUGUUCUACUGAUGAAGCCUAGGAUGGCGAAACAAGGCUAAUAUUCC
rnacentral:miRNA from 1 species